rnacentral:SRP_RNA from 1 species
GGUGAGCAUGGUGGCAUGCACCUAUAGUCUCAGUCUCAGUGAGAGGCCAGGACAAGGCAGGAAGAUCACUUGAGCAUUGGAGUCAAAGGCUGUAGUAUGCUAUAUUUAUCAGGUAUUUUCACUAAGCUUAGCGUCAAUGUUGUGAUCUCCCAGGAAGCAGGAACCAGCAAGCAACCUAAGGAAGGGUGAACUGGCUCAGUUGGAAAUGGAAGAAGUCAAACCCCCUGUGCUUAUUAGUAGUGGGGUCGCAUCUGUGAAUAGGCACUGUGCUCCAACCUCCGCAACAUAGCAACAACCAUCUUUUA